GACGAACGCUGGCGGCGUGCCUAAUACAUGCAAGUCGACCUUAGUGGCGGACGGGUGAGUAAUGCCUAGGAAUCUGCCGGGUAGUGGGGGAUAACGUCCGGCAACGAGCGCUAAUAUGUCAUAGUAACAGAUGAGCCUAGGUCGUUUGAGCUAGUGGGUGGGGUAAGGGCCAACCAAGGCGGCGAUCCGUAACUGGUCGGAGGGGAUGAUCAGCAACACUGGAACGAGGACACGGUCAAGACUCCUACGGGAGGCAGAAGUGGGAAAGAUUGGACAAUGGGCGAAAGCCGGAUACAGCCAUGCCGCGUGUGUGAAGAAGGUCUUCGGAUUGUAAGGCACUUUAAGUUGGGAGGCGUUACCAACAGAAUAAGCACCGGCUAACUUCGUGCCAGCAGCCGCGGUAAUUC
rnacentral:rRNA from 1 species